ensembl:lncRNA
UGAGAAAUAGCAACAGAUGCAGAACCAGGCUUUGGAUAGGAGAGAGAGCUGGACUAAUUAAAACUGUUACUCAAUUGAGACUUCUUUGGCGCUCCAAGGUAAGGGUUCCUCUGCCAAAGAAACAGAGGUUUAAUGUAAUUAGCCAGACAUUAUUCCAAAUUAGCUCAAUUUUCUACAUUGUUUUGGCAGUCAAAUCCAUGAAGCAUUUACCCCCAUCAUAUAUCAGGGAAAGUGGGACUGAACACCCCAAGAACAAUAAGAAAAGCAAUUAACAUCUUAAAUUUGGGUUUUCCUCAAAGCAAAUCCUGAGACAAGGUGUAUUAGUUUUCUACUGCUUCUAUGACAAACUACCACAAACUUAGUUGUUUAAACAACAAUAAUUUAUUAUCUUAUAGUUUCAUAGAUCACAAGUUCUAUAUAGAUUUCUCUGGGCUAAGACCAAAGCACCAUCAGGGUGCAUUCCUUUGUGGAGAUUUUAGGGAGAAUCCAUUUCCUUUCCUUUUCCAACUUCUACAAGCCAUCUGAAUUCCUUGGCUCAUGACCCCCUUCCUGAAGCUUUAAAUCUUGCACGAUCAAGCUAAGUCCUUCUCACAGUGCCAUCUAUUUCUUCCAAUUGCCUCUUAUGCUUUUAAGGACACUUGUGAUUAAAUUGAACCCACCUGGCUAAUACAGGCUACUCUCCCUACAAUGUGAUCACCUAACUAACAAUCUUCAUUCCGCUUCCUUAGUUCCUGCUUGCCUUGUAAUCGAACAUGUUCACAGGUUAUAAGGAUUAGGAGGUAGACAUUUGGGGGGCAGUAGUAGUCUGCCUACUACACAACAAUUUGUGUAUAAGCAUUUUGUUUGGGCAUUAUGAGGGAGAAAGGGAGACACAGAAGGGAGAGAAGCAAAUAGAAGGAAUUUCUGAGCAAGUUACUAUUGUGGGCAAUUGAGGCUCAAUCUACUGGGGAACUCUUUAGACAGAAGGUAGAACAUGCCUUGGAAUUAUAUCACUGAAUGAUGAGAAAGCUAAAGUAUUUAUUCACCUACUCCCACUGUUUAUUGCUUAAGGGUUAUUCCAGGGAUAUUAUCCUCUUGUUGUAUGUAUCUUUCUCCAUGGAGUUAGAAAAGAUAGCUGCAGGUAGUUCUAAUUUACAGUGUUCUCACAGUACUCAAUCCCAGGAGACAGUAUCUAACUAUUUAAGUUCAUUGGAUACUCCUGCACAACUUGGGUCAGAUGGCUCACCUUGAACCAAUCCUUGCAGUUUAGGAGGGAUAAAAUGCUAUGAUUGGCUAGCCCUGAGUGAUGCACUAUUAAGGAUAGGAUUGCCAGUUCCACCAGAAUUGCAGGGGCUGAAGGAGAAGUAUUGCAAUAGAAAGAGGGGUCUUGUGAAGAAAAAAAAAUCAUUGAUAGUUUCUGGAAGAAUGAAGAGAAUAUACAGGGUUCAGAGAGGCAAAAAUCAAAGGACAGGCAUCGGGAUUGACCCUCUAGCAUCCAGAGGUCCCAGCUCAGGACUCCAUGUCUACAGAGACAAGGAGCAUGGCUGCCAGGAAAGAAGAAAGCAAAACACAUCACAACACUCCUAGGGCUGAGAGUUUCUGCAAUACAAAAGACCGUAUUUCCCCAGCUGGUCUCCUGCCUGACCCACCCUGCUUGGUUUUAAAUGACGUCUGGCUAUUUCCAAAAGGUCAUAGCUAGCCUCUAAGGAUGAAGAUUCACAACCACGGGGAGCCCAGUGACACCUCAAUUAACAAACCCCCUGGGAGCAAAGCUCUUCUAUAAUAAAG